rnacentral:rRNA from 1 species
UACGUAGGCAGCGAGCGUUGUUCGGAAUUACUGGGCGUAAAGAGUGUGUAGGCGGUGCUCCCAGUCUGUUGUGAAAUCUCCCGGCUUAACUGGGAGGGUGCAGCGGAAACUAGAGUGCUAGAGGGUGGGAGAGGUAAGCGGAAUUCCUGGUGUAGCGGUGAAAUGCGUAGAUAUCAGGAGGAACACCUGUGGUGUAGACAGCUUACUGGACCACUUCUGACGCUGAUGAGCGAAAGCCAGGGGAGCAAACGGG